rnacentral:rRNA from 1 species
CAGUAGCCGCGGUAAUACGAAGGGUGCAAGCGUUAAUCGGAAUUACUGGGCGUAAAGCGUGCGUAGGUGGUGGUUUAAGUCCGUUGUGAAAGCCCUGGGCUCAACCUGGGAAUUGCAGUGGAUACUGGGUCACUAGAGUGUGGUAGAGGAUAGUGGAAUUUCCGGUGUAGCAGUGAAAUGCGUAGAGAUCGGAAGGAACAUCUGUGGCGAAGGCGACUAUCUGGGCCAACACUGACACUGAGGCACGAAAGCGUGGGGAGCAAACAGGAUUAGAUACCCCUGUAGUCCCUGUCUCUUAUAC